CCCAAUUGAUUGAUGGUGCUUGCACCUGAUUGAUUUUGGUCGCCAACGAGUGGCGGACGGGUGAGUAACACGUAGGUAACCUGCCCAGAAGCGGGGGACAACAUUUGGAAACAGAUGCUAAUACCGCAUAACAGCGUUGUUCGCAUGAACAACGCUUAAAAGAUGGCUUCUCGCUAUCACUUCUGGAUGGACCUGCGGUGCAUUAGCUUGUUGGUGGGGUAACGGCCUACCAAGGCGAUGAUGCAUAGCCGAGUUGAGAGACUGAUCGGCCACAAUGGGACUGAGACACGGCCCAUACUCCUACGGGAGGCAGCAGUAGGGAAUCUUCCACAAUGGGCGCAAGCCUGAUGGAGCAACACCGCGUGAGUGAAGAAGGGUUUCGGCUCGUAAAGCUCUGUUGUUAAAGAAGAACACGUAUGAGAGUAACUGUUCAUACGUUGACGGUAUUUAACCAGAAAGUCACGGCUAACUACGUGCCAGCAGCCGCGGUAAUACGUAGGUGGCAAGCGUUAUCCGGAUUUAUUGGGCGUAAAGAGAGUGCAGGCGGUUUUCUAAGUCUGAUGUGAAAGCCUUCGGCUUAACCGGAGAAGUGCAUCGGAAACUGGAUAACUUGAGUGCAGAAGAGGGUAGUGGAACUCCAUGUGUAGCGGUGGAAUGCGUAGAUAUAUGGAAGAACACCAGUGGCGAAGGCGGCUACCUGGUCUGCAACUGACGCUGAGACUCGAAAGCAUGGGUAGCGAACAGGAUUAGAUACCCUGGUAGUCCAUGCCGUAAACGAUGAGUGCUAGGUGUUGGAGGGUUUCCGCCCUUCAGUGCCGGAGCUAACGCAUUAAGCACUCCGCCUGGGGAGUACGACCGCAAGGUUGAAACUCAAAGGAAUUGACGGGGGCCCGCACAAGCGGUGGAGCAUGUGGUUUAAUUCGAAGCUACGCGAAGAACCUUACCAGGUCUUGACAUCUUGCGCCAACCCUAGAGAUAGGGCGUUUCCUUCGGGAACGCAAUGACAGGUGGUGCAUGGUCGUCGUCAGCUCGUGUCGUGAGAUGUUGGGUUAAGUCCCGCAACGAGCGCAACCCUUGUUACUAGUUGCCAGCAUUAAGUUGGGCACUCUAGUGAGACUGCCGGUGACAAACCGGAGGAAGGUGGGGACGACGUCAGAUCAUCAUGCCCCUUAUGACCUGGGCUACACACGUGCUACAAUGGACGGUACAACGAGUCGCGAACUCGCGAGGGCAAGCAAAUCUCUUAAAACCGUUCUCAGUUCGGACUGCAGGCUGCAACUCGCCUGCACGAAGUCGGAAUCGCUAGUAAUCGCGGAUCAGCAUGCCGCGGUGAAUACGUUCCCGGGCCUUGUACACACCGCCCGUCACACCAUGAGAGUUUGUAACACCCAAAGUCGGUGGGGUAACCUUUUAGGAGCCAGCCGCCUAAGGGACCCG
rnacentral:rRNA from 2 species